rnacentral:rRNA from 1 species
CGGGUACCCCUCCGGCAACUUGAAUCUCCCUGGUGAGUUAAACUGUUUUGUUCCUCUCCCUGCGGAGGGAUCGUUACCUGUUUACAGGUCCCAAACCCAAUGUGACCGUUACCAAACUGUUGCCUCGGCGGGGUCACGCCCCGGGUGCGUCGCAGCCCCGGAACCAGGCGCCCGCCGGAGGAACCAACCAAACUCUUUCUGUAGUCCCCUCGCGGACGUAUUUCUUACAGCUCUGAGCAAAAAUUCAAAAUGAAUCAAAACUUUCAACAACGGAUCUCUUGGUUCUGGCAUCGAUGAAGAACGCAGCGAAAUGCGAUAAGUAAUGUGAAUUGCAGAAUUCAGUGAAUCAUCGAAUCUUUGAACGCACAUUGCGCCCGCCAGUAUUCUGGCGGGCAUGCCUGUCCGAGCGUCAUUUCAACCCUCGAACCCCUCCGGGGGAUCGGCGUUGGGGAUCGGGACCCCUCACACGGGUGCCGGCCCCUAAAUACAGUGGCGGUCUCGCCGCAGCCUCUCCUGCGCAGUAGUUUGCACAACUCGCACCGGGAGCGCGGCGCGUCCACGUCCGUAAAACACCCAACUUUCUGAAAUGUGACCUCGGAUCAGGUAGGAAUACCCGCGACUAGCUUUUCCCCCCCUUCCC